UGGGGAAUUUUGCACAAUGGGGGAAACCCUGAUGCAGCGACGCCGCGUGAUUUAGAAGGCCUUCGGGUUGUAAAAAUCUUUUGUAUGGGAAGAAAAUGACAGUACCAUACGAAUAAGGACCGGCUAAUUACGUGCCAGCAGCCGCGGUAAUACGUAGGUGGCAAGCGUUGUCCGGAAUUAUUGGGCGUAAAGCGCGCGCAGGUGGUUUAGAAAGUCUGAUGUGAAAGCCCACGGCUCAACCGUGGAGGGUCAUUGGAAACUAAUAAACUUGAGUGCAGGAGAGAAAAGUGGAAUUCCUAGUGUAGCGGUGAAAUGCGUAGAGAUUAGGAGGAACACCGGUGGCGAAAGCGGCUUUUUGGCCUGCAACUGACACUGAGGCGCGAAAGCGUGGGGAGCAAACAGG
rnacentral:rRNA from 1 species